rnacentral:rRNA from 3 species
UGAACGCUAGCGGGAUGCCUUACACAUGCAAGUCGAACGGCAGCACGGACUUCGGUCUGGUGGCGAGUGGCGAACGGGUGAGUAAUGUAUCGGAACGUGCCCAGUAGCGGGGGAUAACUACGCGAAAGCGUAGCUAAUACCGCAUACGCCCUACGGGGGAAAGCAGGGGAUCGCAAGACCUUGCACUAUUGGAGCGGCCGAUAUCGGAUUAGCUAGUUGGUGGGGUAACGGCUCACCAAGGCGACGAUCCGUAGCUGGUUUGAGAGGACGACCAGCCACACUGGGACUGAGACACGGCCCAGACUCCUACGGGAGGCAGCAGUGGGGAAUUUUGGACAAUGGGGGAAACCCUGAUCCAGCCAUCCCGCGUGUGCGAUGAAGGCCUUCGGGUUGUAAAGCACUUUUGGCAGGAAAGAAACGUCGUGGGUUAAUACCCCGCGAAAC